rnacentral:rRNA from 1 species
CUCAGAACGAACGCUGGCGGCAGGCUUAACACGUGCAAGUCGAACGCUGUAGCAAUACAGAGUGGCAGACGGGUGAGUAACGCGUGGGAACGUGCCCUUCGGUUCGGAAUAACUCAGGGAAACUUGAGCUAAUACCGGAUACGUGCGAGAGCAGAAAGAUUUAUCGCCGAAGGAUCGGCCCGCGUCCGAUUAGCUAGUUGGUGAGGUAAUGGCUCACCAAGGCGACGAUCGGUAGCUGGUCUGAGAGGAUGAUCAGCCACAUUGGGACUGAGACACGGCCCAAACUCCUACGGGAGGCAGCAGUGGGGAAUAUUGGACAAUGGGCGCAAGCCUGAUCCAGCCAUGCCGCGUGAGUGAUGAAGGCCUUAGGGUUGUAAAGCUCUUUCGCCAGGGACGAUAAUGACGGUACCUGGAUAAGAAGCCCCGGCUAACUUCGUGCCAGCAGCCGCGGUAAUACGAAGGGGGCUAGCGUUGUUCGGAUUUACUGGGCGUAAAGCGCACGUAGGCGGAUCUUUAAGUCAGGGGUGAAAUCCCGAGGCUCAACCUCGGAACUGCCUUUGAUACUGGAGGUCUCGAGUCCGGGAGAGGUGAGUGGAACUGCGAGUGUAGAGGUGAAAUUCGUAGAUAUUCGCAAGAACACCAGUGGCGAAGGCGGCUCACUGGCCCGGUACUGACGCUGAGGUGCGAAAGCGUGGGGAGCAAACAGGAUUAGAUACCCUGGUAGUCCACGCCGUAAACGAUGGAUGCUAGCCGUUGGGGAGCUUGCUCUUCAGUGGCGCAGCUAACGCUUUAAGCAUCCCGCCUGGGGAGUACGGUCGCAAGAUUAAA